rnacentral:rRNA from 1 species
GAUGAACGCUAGCUACAGGCUUAACACAUGCAAGUCGAGGGGCAUCAAGAUUGAAGUUCGCUUUAAUUGUUGGCGACCGGCGCACGGGUGAGUAACACGUAUCCAACCUUCCGUUCACUCGGGGACAGGCUUUCGAAAGAAAGAUUAAUACCCGAUGGUAUGUUUCCGCCGCAUGGCGGGAUCAUUAAAGUUUUAUUUCGGUGUUCGAUGGGGAUGCGUUUCAUUAGAUUGUUGGUGAGGUAACGGCUCACCAAGUCAUCGAUGAAUAGGGGUUCUGAGAGGAAGGUCCCCCACACUGGUACUGAGACACGGACCAGACUCCUACGGGAGGCAGCAGUGAGGAAUAUUGGUCAAUGGGCGCAAGCCUGAACCAGCCAAGUAGCGUGAAGGACGACGGCCCUAUGGGUUGUAAACUUCUUUUAUACGGGAAUAAAAGGUUUUACGUGUAGGAUUUUGCAUGUACCGUAUGAAUAAGGAUCGGCUAACUCCGUGCCAGCAGCCGCGGUAAUACGGAGGAUUCGAGCGUUAUCCGGAUUUAUUGGGUUUAAAGGGUGCGUAGGCGGGUUUUUAAGUCAGUUGUGAAAGUUUGGGGCUCAACCUUAAAAUCGCAGUUGAAACUGGAAGUCUUGAGUAUAGUGGAGGUCAGUGGAAUUCGUGGUGUAGCGGUGAAAUGCUUAGAUAUCACGAAGAACUCCGAUUGCGAAGGCAUCUGACUAUGCUAUAACUGACGCUGAGUCACGAAAGUGUGGGUAUCAAACAGGAUUAGAUACCCUGGUAGUCCACACGGUAAACGAUGAAUACUCGUUGUUUGCGAUAUAGUGCAAGCGACUAAGCGAAAGCGUUAAGUAUUCCACCUGGGGAGUACGCCGGCAACGGUGAAACUCAAAGGAAUUGACGGGGGCCCGCACAAGCGGAGGAACAUGUGGUUUAAUUCGAUGAUACGCGAGGAACCUUACCCGGGCUUAAAUUGCAUAUGAAUAACAAUGAAAGUUGUUAGCCUUUAAGGUAUAUGUGAAGGUGCUGCAUGGUUGUCGUCAGCUCGUGCCGUGAGGUGUCGGCUUAAGUGCCAUAACGAGCGCAACCCUUAUCAUUAGUUACUAUCAGGUCAUGCUGAGGACUCUAGUGAGACUGCCGUCGUAAGAUGUGAGGAAGGUGGGGAUGACGUCAAAUCAGCACGGCCCUUACGUCCGGGGCUACACACGUGUUACAAUGGGUGGUACAGUGGGUUGCUACCUGGUGACAGGAUGCUAAUCCUCAAAACCGUUCUCAGUUCGGAUCGAAGUCUGCAACCCGACUUCGUGAAGCUGGAUUCGCUAGUAAUCGCGCAUCAGCCACGGCGCGGUGAAUACGUUCCCGGGCCUU